rnacentral:rRNA from 1 species
CACUGACAUUAGAUACCCCUGUAGUCCCAGCCGUAAACUAUGCGCGUUAGGUGUACUGGUGACCACGAGUCACCGGGGUGCCGAAGGGAAACCGUGAAACGUGCCGCCUGGGAAGUACGGUCGCAAGGCUGAAACUUAAGGGAAUUGGCGGGGAGCACCACAACGGGUGGAGCCUGCGGUUUAAUUGGACUCAACGCCGGAAAUCUCACCGGAUAGGACAGACAUAUGAUAGUCGGGCUGAAGACUCUACUUGAUGAUCUG